UACGUAGGGGGCAAGCGUUGUUCGGAAUUACUGGGCGUAAAGAGUGUGUAGGCGGUGCUCUAAGUUCGGUGUGAAAUCUCCUGGCUCAACUGGGAGGGUGCGCCGGAAACUGGAGUGCUUGAGCGUGGGAGAGGAAAGCGGAAUUCCUGGUGUAGCGGUGAAAUGCGUAGAUAUCAGGAGGAACACCUGUGGUGUAGACGGCUUUCUGGACCAUAGCUGACGCUGAGACACGAAAAGCGUGGGUAGCAAACAGG
rnacentral:rRNA from 1 species